rnacentral:rRNA from 1 species
CCUACGGGUGGCAGCAGUAGGGAAUAUUGCUCAAUGGGGGAAACCCUGAAGCAGCAACGCCGCGUGGAGGAUGAAGGUUUUCGGAUUUUAAACUCCUUUUGUUAGGGAAGAUAAUGACGGUAUCUAACGAAUAAGCACCGGCUAACUCCGUGCCAGCAGCCCAGGUAAUACGGAGGGUGCCAGCGUUACUCGGAAUCACUGGGCGUAAAGAGCGCGUAGGCGGGAUAGCAAGUCAGAUGUGAAAUCCUAGGGCUUAACCAUAGAAUUGCAUUUGAAACUGGUAUUCUAGAGUAUGGUAGAGGUAGGUGGAAUUCUUGGUGUAGCGGUGAAAUGCGUAGAUAUCAAGAGGAAUAC